rnacentral:rRNA from 1 species
GACGAACGCUGGCGGCUUGCUUAACACAUGCAAGUCGAACGGUGAAGCGCCUUCCUUUUUGGUGGGUGUGGAUGAGUGGCGAACGGGUGAGUAACACGUGAGUAACCUGCCCCCUUCUUCUGGAUAACCGCAUGAAAGUGUGGCUAAUACGGGAUAUUCUGGGUCUGUCGCAUGAUGGGUCUGGGAAAGAUAUUGUUUCGGUGGGGGAUGGGCUCGUGGCCUAUCAGCUUGUUGGUGGGGUGAUGUCCUACCAAGGCGGUGACGGGUAGCCGGCCUGAGAGGGUGGACGGUCACACUGGGACUGAGACACGGCCCAGACUCCUACGGGAGGCAGCAGUGGGGAAUAUUGCACAAUGGGCGCAAGCCUGAUGCAGCGACGCCGCGUGAGGGAUGGAGGCCUUCGGGUUGUGAACCUCUUUCGCCAGUGAAGCAGGCCUGCCUCGUUUGUGGGUGGGUUGACGGUAGCUGGAUAAGAAGCGCCGGCUAACUACGUG